rnacentral:rRNA from 1 species
UACGUAGGCAGCGAGCGUUGUUCGGAGUUACUGGGCGUAAAGAGUGCGUAGGCGGUUUUCUAAGUUUGGUGUGAAAUCUCCCGGCUUAACUGGGAGGGUGCGCCGAAGACUGGAAGGCUAGAGUAUGGGAGAGGUAAGCGGAAUUCCUGGUGUAGCGGUGAAAUGCGCAGAUAUCAGGAGGAACACCUGAGGCGAAGGCGGGCUACUGGGCCGGUAUUGACGCUGAGGCGCGAAAGCUAGGGGAGCAAACGGG